UAUUUUCAUUCUCAGUUCUACAACACAGUGAAGUUCUUACAGCUUACAUUGCCCGCGUACACCACCACUACAGAACAGCUUGCUAUGGAUGAUGUAUGCGAGGGCAAAGAUUUCUCCUUCCCCAAGCAGGAGGAGAGAAUCCUUCAAUGGUGGGAUGAAGUCAAGGCCUUCAAGACUCAGCUAGACCGGACGAAAGAUAUGCCGGAGUAUAUCUUCUAUGACGGCCCGCCUUUCGCUACAGGUCUGCCGCACUACGGCCAUAUCCUCGCCGGGACGAUCAAGGAUAUCGUCACUCGGUACCAGUCCAUGGCCGGCCACCACGUCACUCGACGGUUCGGAUGGGACUGCCACGGCCUUCCUGUCGAGCACGAGAUCGAUAAGAAGCUUGGGAUUAAGAGCCGCGAGGAUGUGAUUAAGAUGGGCAUUGACAAGUACAACGAGGAGUGCCGGGGGAUUGUGACCCGGUACGUUGCGGAGUGGGAGAAGACUGUGGUCAGGAUGGGGCGCUGGAUUGAUUUCAGAGACGAUUACAAGACUAUGGAUUUGAAGUUCAUGGAGAGCGUCUGGUGGGUCUUUGCUCAGUUGUUUGACAAGGGACUUGUGUAUAGAGGCUUCAAGGUUAUGCCAUAUAGCACGGGUUGCAAAACUCCAUUAUCCAAUUUUGAAGCAAAUUCAAAUUACAAGGAAGUUCCUGAUCCUGAAAUCAUGGUAUCUUUCCCCAUAGUUGAUGAUCAAGACGGUGCAUCUUUUGUUGCUUGGACGACGACUCCAUGGACUCUUCCUAGUAAUCUUGCUCUUUGUGUGAAUGCUAAUUUUGUGUAUCUAAAGGUUCGCAACAAGUUUGAUGGGAAAAUCUAUGUGGUGGCCGAAUCUAGACUAUCUGAGCUUCCUUUAGAAAAAGCAAAAAAAGGCACCACCAAUGGUGCUGUUAAUGAUACCCAAAAUUCAAAUCCUAAGUCCAAGCCUUCUGGUGGUAAAUCAAAGAAUUUGGAUACUUACGAGAUUUUGGAUAAAAUCUCAGGGUCUUCACUUGUUGGGAAGAAGUAUGUACCGUUGUUUGAUUACUUUAAGGACUUCUCUGAUACUGCAUUCAGAGUUGUUGCAGAUAAUUAUGUUACUUCUGAUAGUGGUUCUGGCAUUGUUCACUGUGCUCCUGCAUUUGGUGAAGACGAUUAUCGUGUUUGUGUUGAACAUCAGAUAAUUAACAAGGGGGAGAACCUGAUCGUAGCAGUGGAUGAUGAUGGUUGUUUUACUGAGAGGGUUUCGGACUUCGCUCGUCGUUAUGUAAAGGAUGCAGACAAGGAUAUUAUUCAAGCUGUUAAGGAGAAAGGAAGGCUUGUGAAGUCUGGAAAUUUCACCCAUUCCUAUCCAUUUUGUUGGAGAUCUGACACACCACUGAUUUACAGAGCAGUGCCCAGCUGGUUUGUUGCAGUAGAGAAGAUAAAGGAUCAAUUGUUAAUGAACAAUAAAGAAACAUACUGGGUUCCUGAUUUUGUGAAGGAAAAGCGCUUUCAUAAUUGGCUUGAAAAUGCAAGGGAUUGGGCUGUUAGUCGAAGUAGGUUCUGGGGAACUCCACUUCCUGUAUGGAUGAGUGAGGAUGGCGAGGAGAUUGUUGUUAUGGAUUCCAUUGAUAAACUGGAAAAGCUUUCGGGUGAAAAGGUGACGGACUUGCAUCGCCAUAAGAUUGAUCAUAUUACCAUCCCCUCUAGUCGUGGAUCUGAAUUUGGAGUUCUUCGUCGUGUGGAGGAUGUUUUUGAUUGCUGGUUUGAAAGUGGAUCCAUGCCAUAUGCUUAUAUUCACUACCCUUUUGAAAAUGUUAAACUCUUUGAGAACAAUUUUCCCGGGCAUUUUGUGGCUGAAGGGCUUGACCAAACCCGAGGAUGGUUCUAUACCCUCAUGGUCUUGUCUACUGCACUGUUUGGAAAACCUGCUUUUAGAAAUCUUAUUUGCAAUGGACUUGUCCUGGCUGAGGAUGGAAAGAAGAUGAGUAAGAGACUGAAGAACUAUCCUCAACCUACGGAAGUUAUCAAUGAUUAUGGUGCUGAUGCCUUGCGAUUAUACCUGAUUAACUCUCCAGUUGUUCGUGCUGAGCCCUUGCGGUUCAAAAAAGACGGAGUGUAUGGAGUGGUUAAAGAUGUUUUUCUGCCGUGGUAUAAUGCAUAUAGGUUCCUUGUUCAGAAUGCAAAAAGAUUUGAGGUUGAUGGGCUUGGGGCAUUUACUCCUUUUGAUAAAAAAACUCUUCAAUCUUCUUCAAAUGUCCUUGACCAAUGGAUCAACUCAGCGACUGAAAGUUUAGUACAUUUUGUUCGACAAGAGAUGGCUGCAUACAGAUUGUAUACGGUGGUUCCCUAUCUGUUGAAAUUUCUUGAUAACUUGACAAAUAUUUACGUGCGGUUCAAUCGUAAGAGGCUUAAAGGUCGUACAGGCGAGGAGGAUUGCAGAACAGCUCUGUCUACUCUCUACCAUGUGCUCUUGACUUCAUGCAAAGCAAUGGCUCCAUUCACACCUUUCUUUACUGAGGUUCUAUAUCAAAAUUUAAGAAAAGUUCUCAAUGGAUCAGAGGGUAGUAUUCAUUAUUGCAGUUUUCCGGAAGUAGAGGGGAAGAGAUGGGAACGGAUUGAACAAAGUGUUAGUAGGAUGAUGACGGUCAUUGAUCUUGCACGUAAUAUCCGUGAGCGCCGUAACAAACCUCUAAAAACACCACUAAGGAACAUGGUGGUCGUACAUCCAGAUGAAGAUUUUCUUCAGGAUAUCAAGGAGAAACUAAAAGAGUUUGUAUUAGAGGAACUCAAUGUUCAGUCUUUGGAGACAUGUAGUAAUACUUUGGAAUAUGCAUCUUUACGCGCGGAACCUGACUUCAGUGUGUUAGGAAGAAAACUAGGAAAGUCAAUGGGAGAAGUUGCAAAGGCAGUCAAGGCAAUGUCAACCGAAGAUAUUCUGGCUUUUGAGAAAGCUGGAGAAGUUACCUUUGCAAAACACACUUUGAAGCUUAGUGAUAUUAAGAUUAACCGGGGUUUUAAGCGUCCUGAUAAUCGGACAGAGGAUGAGAUAGAUGCAGCUGGAGAUGGUGACGUGUUGGUGGUAUUGGAUUUGGUGAUAGAUGAGUCACAACUCAAGACUGGAGCUGCUCGUGAGAUUGUUAAUAGAGUUCAGAAGUUGAAAAAGAAAUCUGCACUUGAGCCAACAGAUGUAGUUCAGGUCUACUUCAGACCUCUAGACGAGGAUAAAUCAGUUUCGCAGCAGGUUUUGGAGACACAGAAAGAAUACAUUACUGAUGCCAUUGGAUCUCCAUUGCUUCCUGCUGACUCGAUUCCACCAAGUGCUGUGAUUCUCGGAGAAGAGAGUUUCGAUGGAGUGUCAGACCUCAAACUCUCGUUCACAAUCACCUUAGCAAGAGCUUAGAAAAUCCUAGUGUUUUGUUGUUUCUGUAUUUUGGGUUCUGGUGCAAGGUCAGGUCAUCAAGUUUGUUUUUAGUAUUUUGGUUGGUUUUUCAAAAAAUUACUUAUUUGAGGAUGUGUGUGGGGUGGGGGUGUUUAUGACACACUGCUAGACACAGUUUAUCAAAGAGAGGUUUUGAGUUUAAUGUUUAAAAAAUACUCACUUUGCUCAUAUCAGAUCAAAAUUUGUAACAAAAAUAUGCUACCAUUGCUUUUACUCCAUUAAUUAAUAUUUUUAUUUUUUGU